ACAGAAGACUAUUUACAUCAUUAAAUUAAAGUUUACGGAAACCUUGUUUUCCCUCCUCUGCCACUGUCAAUCAUUCUCAAUUCAGUAUUCAAAUAGCGCGCACCUCGUCCAUUUACAGCAGGAUGCACGGUUCUUGUGCGGGUUUUUCCUUAAAGACGGAUUCAGACACAAGGACACAAACACAAUCCUUGGGUCCUGGAGAAGAGUCUAUGACAGAAGAAAAACUAAAAGACAAGCAGAACAUCAGCUUGAAACCAGAGGCAGGCUUCCUUCUCAACCAAACUCAGAUGCGCCAGUCACAAUGAAGCAGCUCAUAACUAAUGCGGCGGGCGACCGGAGAGUAUAAAACACGAAGCUCAUCUUUCACAGACACCACACAACAUCUUCACUCAAGAUGACAAAUGCAGAACUUCUCACAUUUGUUUUCCUGGGGGUGGAGCGGCUCGCUUCAGACGUGAUGAAUGACCAAAUCACAUAACAGAUGACAGAGUUCAUCCCAGCAGAACCCUGCGGAAACCUGGAUUACUGAGGAGACUCCACCAUCACAGCAAAUGAAGUUAAACACAGUCUGAGAGUUUCUUAUCGUCUCGGAGAGCUCUUGUAGACUUCAAUCUGAACUUGUUACCUCAUAGAAAUGCUGAAAAAGUGCUCAAAAUCUCUGGAAAGCAAAAUAUCAAUGUUACUCUUGUCUUAAAGGGACAGUCCACCCAAAAUUGGAAAUUCUGUCAUCAUGUACUCACCCGCUUUUGUUCACUAAAGCAAAUGACUGCAGUUUAAUUUUUGCUUGAAUAUUGAAUA